rnacentral:rRNA from 1 species
GCGUGUGUGAAGAAGGCCUGCGGGUUGUAAAGCACUUUCAGUAGAGAAGAAAAGCCUAGGGUUAAUAACCCUGAGUCUUGACGUAACCUACAGAAGAAGCACCGGCUAACUCCGUGCCAGCAGCCGCGGUAAUACGGAGGGUGCAAGCGUUAAUCGGAAUUACUGGGCGUAAAGCGCGCGUAGGCGGCUUAGUAAGUCGGAUGUGAAAGCCCAGGGCUUAACCUUGGAAUUGCAUUCGAUACUGCUUGGCUAGAGUAUGGUAGAGGGAAGUGGAAUUUCCGGUGUAGCGGUGAAAUGCGU